ACUAUGGAGAGUUUGAUCCUGGCUCAGGAUGAACGCUAGCGGGAGGCCUAAUACAUGCAAGUCGAACGGGUGAAUUAGCUUCGGUUGGUUCACUAGUGGCGCACGGGUGAGUAACGCGUACGCAAUCUGCCCUAUGCUGGGGAAUAGCCCUGGGAAACUGGGAGUAAUACGCCAUAGUUCUACGGAUCUGCAUGGAUUUGUAGAUAAAGCUGCGGCGGCAUAGGAUGAGCGUG
rnacentral:rRNA from 1 species